rnacentral:rRNA from 1 species
AUGCCUAGAUCCCGUGUAAAUGGAAAUUUCAUUGAUAAUACCUCCUCAAUUGUAGCCAAUACUUUAUUGUGAAUAAUUCCGACAACCUCAAGAGAAAAAAGGUUUACUUAUUAUAGAGAUGGUAUUUGAGUAUUGAGCGAACGGAAAUAUGCGGAAGCUUUGCAAAAUUAUUAUGAAGCUACGCAACUAGAAAUCGAUCCCUAUGAUUGAAGUUAUAUACUCUAUAACAUAGGCCUUAUACACACAAGCAAUGGAGAUCAUACAAAGGCUUUGGAAUAUUAUUUCUGGGCACUAGAACGAAACCCCUUCUUACUGCAAGCUUUUAAUAAUAUGGCCGUGAUAUGUCAUUAUGGAGAACAUGCCAUUCUACAGGGUGAUUCUGAAGUUGCGGAAGCUUGGUUUGAUCAAGCUACUGAAUAUUGGAAACAAGCUAUAGCGCUUACUUCGGGAAAUUAUAUUGAAGCACAGAACUGGUUGAAGAUUACGAAGCACUUUGAAUUUGAAUAA